UACGUAGGUGGCGAACGUUGUCCGGAUUCACUGGGCGUAAAGCGCGCGCAGGCGGACCGGUAAGUCUGAGGUGAAAGCUCCCGGCUCAACUGGGAGAAGCCCUUGGAUACUGCUGGUCUUGAGACACUUAGAGGAGAGUGGAAUUCCCGGUGUAGUGGUGGAAUGCGUAGAUAUCGGGAGGAACACCAGUGGCGAAAGCGACUCUCUGGGAGUGAUCUGACGCUGAGGCGCGAAAGCGUGGGGAGCAAACCGG
rnacentral:rRNA from 1 species